UCAGGAUGAACGCUAGCGGCAGGCUAACACAUGCAAGUCGAGGGGCAUCGGGAGUAGCAAUACUGCCGGCGACCGGCGCAAGGGUGCGUAACGCGUGAGCAACAUGCCCGUAUCAGGGGGAUAAUCCAUGGAAACGUGGUCUAAUACCCCAUAGUAAUUAUGUAAGGCAUCUUAUAUAAUUUAAAGCUUUGGUGGAUACGGAUUGGCUCGCGUGACAUUAGCUGGAUGGUAAGGUAACGGCUUACCAUGGCUACGAUGUCUAGGGGUUCUGAGAGGAAGGUCCCCCACACUGGAACUGAGACACGGUCCAGACUCCUACGGGAGGCAGCAGUGAGGAAUAUUGGACAAUGGAUGGAAAUCUGAUCCAGCCAUGCCGCGUGCAGGAAGACGGCCCUAUGGGUUGUAAACUGCUUUUGUAUGGGAGCAAUAAGGGCUACGUGUAGUCCGAUGAGAGUACCAUACGAAUAAGCACCGGCUAACUCCGUGCCAGCCGCCGC
rnacentral:rRNA from 1 species